UACGAAGGGGGCUAGCGUUGCUCGGAAUUACUGGGCGUAAAGCGCACGUAGGCGGCUUGUUAAGUCAGGGGUGAAAUCCUGGAGCUCAACUCCAGAACUGCCUUUGAUACUGGCGAGCUUGAGUUCGGGAGAGGUGAGUGGAACUGCGAGUGUAGAGGUGAAAUUCGUAGAUAUUCGCAAGAACACCAGUGGCGAAGGCGGCUCACUGGCCCGAUACUGACGCUGAGGUGCGAAAGCGUG
rnacentral:rRNA from 1 species